rnacentral:rRNA from 1 species
AGAGUUUGAUCCUGGCUCAGAACGAACGCUGGCGGCAGGCCUAACACAUGCAAGUCGAGCGCCCAGCAAUGGGAGCGGCGGACGGGUGAGUAACGCGUGGGAAUUUUUCCUGGAGUACGGAACAACCGAGGGAAACUUCGGCUAAUACCGUAUGAUAUCGAGAGAUCAAAGAUUUAUCGCUCUGGGGUGAGCCCGCGUCAGAUUAGGUAGUUGGUGGGGUAACGGCCUACCAAGCCUGCGAUCUGUAGCUGGUCUGAGAGGACGAUCAGCCACACUGGGACUGAGACACGGCCCAGACUCCUACGGGAGGCAGCAGUGGGGAAUCUUGCGCAAUGGGCGAAAGCCUGACGCAGCCAUGCCGCGUGAGUGAAGAAGGUCUUAGGAUUGUAAAGCUCUUUCGCUCGUGACGAUGAUGACGGUAACGAGAGAAGAAGCCCCGGCUAACUUCGUGCUAGCACGCCGCGGUAAUAC